GAUGAAGAACGCAGCGAAAUGCGAUACGUAAUGUGAAUUGCAGAAUUCAGUGAAUCAUCGAAUCUUUGAACGCAUAUUGCGCUCUCUGGUAUUCCGGAGAGCAUGCUUGUUUGAGUAUCAGUAAACACCUCAACUCCCCUUUCUUUUUUUGAAAUGGGAGCUGGACUUGAGUGAUCCCAACGCUUUUCUCACCGAAAAGUGGCGGGUUACUUGAAAUGCAGGUGCAGCUGGACUUUUCUCUGAGCUAAAAGCAUAUCUAUUUAGUCUGCCUAAAAAACAGAUUAUUACCUUUGCUGCAGCUAACAUAAAGGAGAUUAGUUCUUGUGCUGACUGAUGCAGGAUUCACAGAGACAGCUUCGGCUGGCCUUUGUAAACUCGAUCUCAAAUCAAGUAAGACUACCCGCUGAACUUAAGCAUAUCAAUAAGCGGAGAA
rnacentral:misc_RNA from 1 species